rnacentral:rRNA from 1 species
UACGAAGGGGGCUAGCGUUGUUCGGAAUUACUGGGUGUAAAGGGUUCGUAGGCGGUGCGGCAAGUUGGGAGUGAAAUCUCUGGGCUUAACCCAGAGGCUGCUUCCAAAACUGCUGUGCUUGAGUGUGGGAGAGGCGCGUGGAAUUGCAGGUGUAGCGGUGAAAUGCGUAGAUAUCUGCAGGAACACCCGUGGCGAAAGCGGCGCGCUGGACCACUACUGACGCUGAGGAGCGAAAGCCAGGGGAGCAAACGGG